rnacentral:lncRNA from 1 species
CUGCAGUCCACUGGCUGGCAUUCCCACCAGACUGACUACCAAUCCCCGUGGACUCUCAGCCUCUUCACCAAGGCAUGUGGUUGCUCCCUGCUGCCCCACCUACGCAGAAGGCUCCCCAGAGGACCUACCGCUCCUCUCCCCUGAGGUCUGCCAGCUCCCACGGACCUCCUCUGCAGAUUCUUCAAGGUGACCUCUGUCUGGAGAUGAGGACAAUGUGUCUGUCUGUUUUUCAAAUAUUUGGAGCCUGCUAAAGACCAACACAUUUUUUUAAGUGUGUAUAAUUUGAGGGCAAUUUGAUCCAUAUGUUUCUGAUUCCCUUGCACUCAAAUCAUCAAAAUAUUGAUUUUUA